ACUAUUAAUUUUGAAUUUUAUAUAAAAUAAAAUAUAAUAUAUAUUUUUACUUAAUCAUGACAUUGAAUUUUUAAAAUAGAAGUGUGAUUCCUAAACGGAACCGUAAGCAUCCAACGUGUUUUUAAAGAAGUAUUUUUAGAAGCAUAUUGAAAGCCAGAUUCCGAGAGCUUCUCCAAGCUUCUGAUUCCGAUUCGGUUUCGAAGCGGGAAGUAGACGUCUGGCAAAGCUUCCGUGCUACCUAAUUCAAGUGAUAUUUAUUUAUAUACAAAUACCAAUGGUUUUAACUAAAAAAAAAUUAGAACAUAAUUUUCAACAUGAAGUGAUUAUGUUAAAAAAUUUAAAGUGAUUUUACGGAUUCGAGCUCUAAUGUUAAAAAUUAGAGCGGUUAAAGUCAAAAUUAUCCUUAGAUUUAUAUGUUAAAGACAAUUGAUUAUUAAUUAAUAUUCAAACACUGAUUUAUAAGAGAAUAAGGUAAUUUUUAUAUAUAGUGUGCUAUUAUCUGGAAAUAUUAUUCUUAUAUUGUUUUUUAAUAAGAUAUAAAGCAAUUUAUAAUUAUGUAUUAAUCAAAAAUAUCUGUAUAAAUAUAUUUUCAAAAAUAUUUCUAAUAUGUUAGUGUUUUUAAAAUUUCAACAAAAUAAUAAGCAUAUAUAUUUUGAUGAAAAACUUUGUCAUAUAUAAAUCAUUUGAUGUUUGACUUAAACUUUUUGAGAACGUAAAUAAUUACUUAUCAUACUUAUUUUUGAAUUAAUAAGAUAUAAACUAAAUAUUUGUAAGAAAAUUAUUUCCGCACAUGAAAGCAAAACUCUUAGUUUAUAAUGAUUUACCUGUAGUUGUAUAUUAACAUUGCAAUACAUAAUUUAAGUUAUAUAAUCGGUGCCGCUAGUCUAAUUAGAAUUCGUCCUAAUGUUUUUAUUGAAAGAGAUGAAAAAGUGAAAUUGAUAGGAGAUGAUGCAGUAAUCAUGAUCAUGCGAGAAGGUAAGACAUGGAUUUGAUAGAGUGAGAAUUGUAGAUGGAUUUCUUCUCCAUUUUAACUAUUUGUUUCUUUAUAUCACAAUGUGUUUCGUCCAUCUUUAUUUGUUUGAUUUGUAUAUAGCUUACAACAGCUUCGCAUUUGAUUUCAAUAACUAUUUGCAUCCUCUAUAAAUGUCAAGACUGUACCUUAGAUAUUGGUCGGUUCCUACACCUACGUUGUCAAUAUCUUGUUUUGAACCAUAUCUAAAGAGUUGUUCGUAGUUACACUCGUCUCUUGUUAUAAAUAUAUUAGAAUAAACUAAUUUUUUUAUCACAUAUAGCAUGAUAUUCAUUUUCUACGUCUUGGUUUUUAUUUCUUUAGCUCAAUAAUAAAACCAGAAAACACUAUCAAAGCGCCAGAAAACUAUUAAAUCAAUCACACAUUCGUAUCACAAAUUUGUAAAUUGAUUAAUGCAUUUAUGCUUUUUAUUCUUGAAUGUCUCAAAAACCAUUACAUGUCCCAAGUUUCCUAUCCAAUUGUCAUCUUACGGAUUACAGAUCGCGUCAAUCUUCAACUAGAUUCAGGUAAAUCCUAUGUUUAAAUUUGUAUGAGGUUUAUAACAUCGUUACAUGAGGUUUAUAACAUCGUUAGGACCUUUGAGUUCCGCGACUGAAGGAGGACCUUUAUGUUGUGUGACUUAUGGAGCACCAUUCGAGACAAUCAGAUUCUUCCCCUUAAUCCAAUCCACCAGUAACUAGUAAUACACUAUCACAAGAAAGUAUAAUAAGCAUGUAACAAGAAAAAACUCUCACAUAAGAAUCAUCAACUAAGUAACACUAAAGUGAACAACACACAAUCAUCCCUCAAUGAAGCCGCAUUUUAGACCUAGACUACCAAGAGUGCACUAUUGUAAUUGAGUGGGCACUAUUGUAAUUUUUCUCAUCUUCCCCAGAAACCUGUUAACGUUUUCUGCAAUUAUUUCAAUGGCCGCCAUACUUACAAAAGUAACAAAACUCAUCAAUUUUGCGUUUUCCUUGCUGUUAAUGUUUUAAACUUGUAGAUCCAUUACGAAAUAUCCGAUUUCAACCUUUUAAACAAAUCUAAAAAAAUUGCACGCGUGAAGAUAAUCGCUUCUCUCUUCUCUCUCUCCUUCCUUGCAGAAACCCUAGAUUUGAAAACCCUUGGCGGCCGGUGGUUGUUCCUUUCACCGCCGGUCUCCCUCCUCUCUGUUUCUGUUUCUUUAGUUUUCAUGCCUCCGUUCUACUGCUUUCGCAACUCUGCUUUGUCGAGGCGGAGGUAUGGAACUCGGAUUCGGGCUUAACUGAACGGGAUUUGUGACAUCCGGUGUCUCUUGGCUUGGAGGUGCUAUUCUCACCUCGUCGCGAAAUCGGGUGGGCCAGAGCCCCUAUGUAACUUCGAUGCUCUGGUGGUUCGUCAGGAGUACGGUGGUCAGCCAUCGGGGCUAGAGGUUUGGUCGGAUCUCUCGUGAGUGGAUGGCGGUUCCCUUCGAGUUGUUUCUCUCCGGCCAGAAAUCAUUUCUUCCUCGCCUUGAGGAGCACGCUGUAUCUCGGACCCGUGAGGAGUUGAAGAGGUGUGAGCUUGCGGUGCUUAGGGUUUGGAGGCUGUUGUUCUUAUGAUUUAAUAUAAUUUAAAAGAAAAAAAAAAACCUUUUAAACAAGAUAAAGUCAGUCUGUACAUUUGACUUAAUCUUCAAUUCUCGAUUUUAUGGGACAUAACAACGAUGGGGUUUUGUUGAACAAAAGUUCUCCAUCUCUGACGAUCCAUAACAUCAUGAAGGCAGAGCGGCUCUGGCAGCUCCCAUGUCGCUACGCUGAAAAUUUAUGUUCUUGAGAGCCAUUGGGUAACGUGUAACUCACGUUCUCUCUCAUCAAUUUUAUUUACUCAUAGUUUCUAGAUUUAAUUACUGAACAAUAGUUAUAGGAAAAGAACGAUGAAUUUUAACCAAAAGUAAGUUAGUUGGAAAUUGACUAAUGUGUAACAACAACUAGACAGAUAAAAUUAGCUGUUUACAUCAGUUUUCGUUGGAGAAAGAGUCUCAGAUAAAAUUAGCUGUUUACAAACUGAUCUAUGUUUUGUAAUAAUAAAGUAGAAAAAUGACUCCUAUUGUAAUUGUUUCUUAAUACAAAUGUUUCUUAUACAAUUACCCCAUGAUCUUUGUUUGUAUUAUACCGCGUAGAUUAUACCUAAUAUCCCCUUUUGUUUUACCUUCAUCCCAUUUCAGGAAAUAAGAUUUAGAACAUAAAUACAUCAUCUUAUUCGUCAAAAUAAAACAAACACCCAAACUAAAAAUCUAUUGCUCUAACUCGAGAAGGCAUGCAAUCAACCAAGCUCAUUGCUUCCUCAGUUAAUAUCGUAUUUUGUUUGUAUCAGUUACAUAAUUGUAAAAAUAUGAUCAAUAAUAAUAAAUUAUGAUAAACUCUAUGUUCAGUAAUUAAUUAAUUCAAUAUUUUUUCUAUUAAUUAAUCUUUUUUUUAACGACUGCAAAUUCGAUAAAUGAAUCCCAAAGGGAGAUUGUAAACAAAGGAGACAUAGAAAACAACAUUACACACUAAAUCUUAAAGAGAAGAUCUACGAGUGAAUAAAGGAUGCAUCUAUGAGAAUCUGUUGAUGAAGCCACACAGAAUUCUUUUUAACAUUUAUUAAGAUUUCUUCCAUAACAGAAACAAAAUUCAAACAACUUUUGAGAUGAAUUGUAAAAUUCCGAAUAGAUAUCAUUUGAAUAUCAUCACACUUUAAUAAGUUUCCAACCUACAAAAAGUAAAAGAAAUCAAAAGACUAAAUCUCAUAAAAACUAUUGACAAAUCUUUUUACCAAAAGAACACUAUUGACAAAUCUCAUUCGAGUUAAGAACAACCAUUCAUAAGUAUAUAUAUAACGAGAUUUUGAAGUACCUUUAAUUUUUGUUUCUCCAAAUAUGUAGAAAAUAUACUCUUUCAAGUGAUUAGUACGUACAUCUCUCUAUGAUUUUAAAGUCACCAUAUGAAUCAUUCCAAAUAAUGGAAAAGAUAUGAAAAAAUCGAAAACAAACAUGCUAUAAUAUGAGAGAAGAUUUAGAAGAUGAGUAAGAGAGAUCAUCAUCAUCAAAUGUCAAAAAAAAAACAAACUUUUAAAUUGUUUAAAACGUUUUUCAAAGGGGGAGGAGUAAAAGAAGAUGAUUGUGGUGUGAUAAAUGGAUAGUGGGUGAUUUUGAAAAGGAAAAAAGUUUCUUAACUACACAAAGUUUACUCUAAUAUGGUGGAAACCAUCCAAUGUUUGAGAAUGUGUCAACAACUACACGACGUUUAUGUUAAUACAUGUCACAUGUACAAAGUAAAUGAUUAUAUGGUAGCAACAUCACAAUCGGAUUUAAUUGAUUUUAAAAUAAGUUAAUGGGGUCAAUCCAUAAUAUAUUAAAGUUAACCCCAAUUUAUAAAAUCUGACCCGACCCAACUAUUUAACCCGACCCAUGUAAUUAGGGUUCAUAAAUUAUAUCAAUGUACCUGACAACUUUGGUUCCAAAUCCUUUUUUUGUGAACGACCUUUGGUUCCAAAUCCAAGAUUGAACUAAACAACGAGUGAUAAUCUGUUUGAUUGGUUUGUCCGUGUUGUAGGAAUGGGUGGGUUGGAAAAAGUGAAGAAGAAUGGAAAGAUUGAUAUAUACAUAUGUGUGUGUAACUCUGUGUUUAUUUAUGGCUUUGUAUGUUUUUUCUUUGCAAAAGAAAUUGUUUGAGUAGCAAGAAUGAAAGUAAGAUUAUAUAUAGCAAAUGAUAUCUGCCCUUCAAGGCCAUACAUAAUAUUAAUGUCUCACUGUUAAGAUAUUUGUUUUUAGAAGCAAAGAAAAUAAGUUGAGAAGGGUUAUUACUUAUUACAAUGACAUUUGUUUACCUAAUUCAGCAGUAAACCCACCAUGUACAAUUUAAAUACGGACAUUUACCUAUAAGAGAAAUGAACAUUUACCUAUAAGGGACAAAUAAACUAAUAACACAUUUAAAGUGGACGCAAUCAACUACCGAUUGAAAUAUAAAUUACGUGUGCCACUAAUUCAAUCAAACUAACUAUAAAUGGAAUGAGAAAAGAAUCUAUCAACUCAAGACAACUAACCAGUUGCAAAAACGUAACAGUAACUCACCUAUAAAUACCACAACUCUCAGUAACCAUACAUCAUCAGAGAUUCAGAAACACUUCUGCAGAAAUCAACUUGGUUCCACCACAGUCUCUCUCACCUGGGAAGUCCCCUAAAGAAAUUUAAGUCUACAUUAUCUCACGGGUGGCCCUUUUCUCACGCACCACGGUACGGAACACUAUCGAAGCAAUCUACGACAUCGAUUCACUUUGAAUAUCAAUCUACGACAUCAACCUCCACCCAUAGUAUGUCUUCGCACUAUGAUGAUGAUAACGUCAACACUUCAGAUGAAAACGAGAUCUUUCUGGGGCUAGGAAUAGUGUUGAUAGGUAUAGGUGUAGGUUUGCUAUUGUGCUGCCUAAUUAAAUUAUUUAAUAGGUCUACUCAAUCUCCAGUUCCAAAUGUGAAUACUGGAGAUAUAGAGUUAGGGGUUAUUGGUGAUGUUAAUGGACAUCAAGAAAUUCUAUUAAUUCCUGUACCGAGGGAGAAUUUCGUAUUCGUGAAUGGGGAAAGUGAGUGCAUUAUUUGCUUAGAGGAAUUUGCCUCUAAUGAUAUAAUGGCAAAUACUCUAUGUGGGCAUGCAUUCCACUUGCACUGUUUACGUAGUUGGAAUGCAAGGAAUGCAAACAGUUGUCCAAUGUGUCGUAAUAAUUUAGUUUAAUUUUCUGUAAACAAAUCAAUGUAUUGUGUGUAUUUUUGAAUAAAUGAAUACAUAAUUUUACGUAUAUAUUUUAGCCAAAAAUUCUGAAAAAAAAAGUACAGUGACUAAGUAAUAUUUCAACGAAGAUUUUUUGUCGACUGUAUUUCAUUAGAAAACAACAGAGUAAUCUUACAAGAACCAACAACUAAGCGCUAAAAGAUUACCGGGAGACAGACACAGAAGGAUAGCCGGGAGACAAAAGUAAGCAAAUUGGACUAGUAAAAAUUACCAAAAUUAGUGUUUCAAAAAAAAAAAAGAGUUUCCAAAAAAAAGAUUACCAAAAGUAAACUAGAAAAGACUUGGACGAUGAAGGGUCUACAAACAGCUGAACCACGCAAAACCAGCAGCCACUCUAAA